rnacentral:rRNA from 1 species
CAGUCGCCGCGGGAAUACAGAGGGUGCAAGCGUUAAUCGGAAUUACUGGGCGUAAAGCGCGCGUAGGUGGUUCGCCAAGUUGGAUGUGAAAUCCCCGGGCUCAACCUGGGAACUGCAUCCAAAACUGGCGAGCUAGAGUAUGGUAGAGGGUGGUGGAAUUUCCUGUGUAGCGGUGAAAUGCGUAGAUAUAGGAAGGAACACCAGUGGCGAAGGCGACCACCUGGACUGAUACUGACACUGAGGUGCGAAAGCGUGGGGAGCAAACAGGAUUAGAUACCCGUGUAGUCCCUGUCUCUUAUAC